CUCACCGUUCGGUAACGUGUAUUUAUAUUAAUACGUUACGACAUUAAAAUCGCAUUAUAUUCAUUUCUGAAAAAUGUCAGCAAGACACAAGGAGCCCCAUUUGGGCCGUCGAACUAAUAAAGCAUCAAGCAUGCCUAAUAAUAGAGCAGAAAGAACAGAUAAACCAAUACAACAAAAUAACGAAAAUGUGCGUGUGAGCAUGUCACCAUUGAACGGUUUGCUCACAGGCACAUAUCAAGUAGCAAGUCUGUUCCUGAAGUCCAUUCGCACACGAAAAAAGGCAAAGGACUUCGUUCCUCCCCGGGUCUCUUCUUCCCCAACCGUACAUUGUUUUAUUGUUAUCGUUUUAAUUUACACGGGACUUAUAUCGUGUCUUCAUCUCAAUUUUAUGGAGGAAAGUCAAAAAACCCAAAUAGUAGCAAGUGUAAAUAAUGCAAUCUUGAAAAAUAAGUUAUUAAAUCAUGUGAAUUCAUUCAAGUAUAUAUACAUUACAUACAUUAAAUAUACACAUGAUUCGAGAGUUUACUAUUGACAGUAUAAUUAUAUGCGCAGUGUCAAAAAAACUAUCGAAAGAAAAAAAUAUUAAUGACUAUUAUUUAUCAAGCAAUUAUAACAAUAUUUUUUAUUAUUA